GGGACACGUGGUAUCCUGUCUGAAUAUGGGGGGACCAUCCUCCAAGGCUAAAUACUCCUGACUGACCGAUAGUGAACCAGUACCGUGAGGGAAAGGCGAAAAGAACCCCGGCGAGGGGAGUGAAAAAGAACCUGAAACCGUGUACGUACAAGCAGUGGGAGCCUCUUAAUGGGGUGACUGCGUACCUUUUGUAUAAUGGGUCAGCGACUUAUAUUCUGUAGCAAGGUUAACCGAAUAGGGGAGCCGAAGGGAAACCGAGUCUUAACUGGGCGUUAAGUUGCAGGGUAUAGACCCGAAACCCGGUGAUCUAGCCAUGGGCAGGUUGAAGGUUGGGUAACACUAACUGGAGGACCGAACCGACUAAUGUUGAAAAAUUAGCGGAUGACUUGUGGCUGGGGGUGAAAGGCCAAUCAAACCGGGAGAUAGCUGGUUCUCCCCGAAAGCUAUUUAGGUAGCGCCUCGUGAAUUCAUCUCCGGGGGUAGAGCACUGUUUCGGCAAGGGGGUCAUCCCGACUUACCAACCCGAUGCAAACUGCGAAUACCGGAGAAUGUUAUCACGGGAGACACACGGCGGGUGCUAACGUCCGUCGUGA
rnacentral:rRNA from 1 species